UACGUAGGGUGCAAGCGUUGUCCGGAAUUAUUGGGCGUAAAGAGCUCGUAGGCGGUUUGUCGCGUCGGCUGUGAAAACUCGGGGCUCAACCCCGAGCCUGCAGUCGAUACGGGCAAACUUGAGUGUGGUAGGGGAGACUGGAAUUCCUGGUGUAGCGGUGAAAUGCGUAGAUAUCUGGAGGAACACCGGUGGCGAAGGCGGCAUCCUGGACCGACACUGACGCCGAGGAGCGAAAGCCAGGGGAGCAAACGGG
rnacentral:rRNA from 1 species